rnacentral:rRNA from 1 species
UACGUAGGGGGCUAGCGUUGUCCGGAAUCAUUGGGCGUAAAGAGCGCGUAGGCGGCCCGAUAAGUCCGCUGUGAAAGUCCAGGGCUCAACCCUGGAAUGCCAGUGGAUACUGUCGGGCUAGAGUGCGGAAGAGGCGAGUGGAAUUCCUGGUGUAGCGGUGGAAUGCGCAGAUAUCAGGAGGAACACCAAUAGCGAAGGCAGCUCGCUGGGACGGUACUGACGCUGAGACGCGAAAGCGUGGGGAGCGAACAGG